rnacentral:tRNA from 1 species
GUCCUGAUAGUAUAAGUAUUACCCUGGUCUUGUAAACCAGAAAUGAAAGUUAAUUUUCUCAGGAUA